GAUGAACGCUGGCGGCGUGCCUAAUACAUGCAAGUCGAGCGAACAGAUAAGGAGCUUGCUCCUUUGACGUUAGCGGCGGACGGGUGAGUAACACGUGGGUAACCUACCUAUAAGACUGGGGUAACUUCGGGAAACCGGAGCUAAUACCGGAUAACAUUUGGAACCGCAUGGUUCUAAAGUGAAAGAUGGUUUUGCUAUCACUUAUAGAUGGACCCGCGCCGUAUUAGCUAGUUGGUAAGGUAACGGCUUACCAAGGCGACGAUACGUAGCCGACCUGAGAGGGUGAUCGGCCGCACUGGAACUGAGACACGGUCCAGACUCCUACGGGAGGCAGCAGUAGGGAAUCUUCCGCAAUGGGCGAAAGCCUGACGGAGCAACGCCGCGUGAGUGAUGAAGGGUUUCGGCUCGUAAAACUCUGUUAUUAGGGAAGAACAAAUGUGUAAGUAACUGUGCACGUCUUGACGGUACCUAAUCAGAAAGCCACGGCUAACUACGUG
rnacentral:rRNA from 1 species